rnacentral:rRNA from 1 species
UCCCUAUGGGUGCACCAGGCGAGAAAACUUUGCAAUGUGCGAAAGCACGACAAGGUUAAUCCGAGUGGUUUCUGCUAAAGGAACCUUUUGUCGGUCCUAGAAACACCGAUGAAUAAGGGGUGGGCAAGUUCUGGUGUCAGCCGCCGCGGUAAAACCAGCACCUCAAGUGGUCAGGAUGAUUAUUGGGCCUAAAGCAUCCGUAGCCGGCUCUGUAAGUUUUCGGUUAAAUCUGUACGCUCAACGUACAGGCUGCCGGGAAUACUGCAGAGCUAGGGAGUGGGAGAGGUAGACGGUACUCGGUAGGAAGGGGUAAAAUCCUUUGAUCUAUUGAUGACCACCUGUGGCGAAGGCGGUCUACCAGAACACGUCCGACGGUGAGGGAUGAAAGCUGGGGGAGCAAACCGGAUUAGAUACCCGGGUAGUCCCAGCUGUAAACUAUGCAAACUCAGUGAUGCAUUGGCUUGUGGCCAAUGCAGUGCUGCAGGGAAGCCGUUAAGUUUGCCGCCUGGGAAGUACGUACGCAAGUAUGAAACUUAAAGGAAUUGGCGGGGGAGCACCACAAGGGGUGAAGCCUGCGGUUCAAUUGGAUUCAACGCCGGAA